rnacentral:pre_miRNA from 1 species
CUUGGGGGGAGGGGAGUUCCUGAGCCCGGAUUGUGAGAGGGUGCAGGCCAAGCUGAGGGACCCCACCUGUGCACA